GACUCCGCACACGACGCCCGCGCGCCAGGCUCCCGCUUGCUGCCGGGCUCGCGCCGCAGAGGCCGGUGAGGCGCCUGCGGCCACGCGGUGGAGGGUGCAGGCCGACGGUGCCGGUCGUCGGGGCGCGCGCGCCACGCAUGGAGGCGGCGCGGGCGGCUGCCUAAGGGCAGUGGGGCCAGUGGAGCGGCUACCUUGCGUAUCCGUCGAGCGGCCUCGAGCCCACGGCAGCCGGCGGCGGCGGGCCGCGGAGCCGGCGCGGCCAUGGCGACGGGCACUCAACAGAAGGAGAACACGUUGCUUCACCUCUUCGCCGGCGGGUGCGGGGGCACGGUUGGUGCUAUUUUCACUUGUCCGCUGGAAGUCAUUAAGACCAGAUUGCAGUCUUCAAGGUUAGCUCUUCGGACAGUCUAUUAUCCUCAGGUUCAUCUGGGGACCAUCAGUGGAGCUGGAGUGGUGAGACCAACGUCAGUGACACCUGGACUCUUACAGGUUCUGAAGUCAAUCUUGGAGAAAGAGGGACCAAAGUCACUUUUUAGAGGCUUGGGUCCAAAUUUGGUUGGAGUUGCACCGUCAAGGGCUGUGUACUUUGCAUGCUACUCCAAAGCCAAAGAGCAGUUCAAUGGCAUUUUCGUGCCCAAUAGCAACAUCGUGCACAUUUUCUCCGCUGGCUCUGCAGCUUUUGUCACAAAUUCCUUAAUGAAUCCUAUAUGGAUGGUUAAAACCCGGAUGCAGCUAGAACGGAAGGUCCGAGGCUCCAAGCAGAGGAACACGCUCCAGUGCGCCCGCUACGUGUACCAGACGGAAGGCAUCCGGGGCUUCUACCGGGGGUUAACGGCCUCCUAUGCUGGAAUUUCAGAAACGAUCAUCUGUUUCGCUAUUUACGAAAGCUUAAAGAAGUAUCUGAAGGAAGCGCCAUUAGCUGCUUCUACAAAUGGGACUGAGAAAAAUUCCACCAAUUUUUUUGGACUUAUGGCAGCUGCGGCUCUUUCUAAGGGAUGCGCCUCGUGUGUCGCGUACCCACACGGUAGGUUCUGCUUUGCCCUCCGGCGCAGUAAAACCGCCGACACUUUGUGUCGGUGUGUCUAGACCUCUAGCUCGGCGGCCGGUGCAGACACCCACAGGUAUCGCGCAGUAACUGGGGCCCAGCACAGCCGGCUGCGGCCCCUGUGUGCAGGUCAUGAGGGCAGGGGAACCCUGCUCUGAGCUCCAGCUGAUUGCAGCCAAAACGUGCCUGGGCACAAUGUGAGCCCUGUCUUGUGGAACUUCUGAUGUUUUCAAAGAAGCCAGAAAUCUGGAUUUUAUUAAAAUACCUCAAUUUACAAAAGUGAUGUGGGAGCCAAGCUUUGGGGGAGAAACUCCCUCUCAGCUUCCACUUUGAAUGGAGCGCUGAGGAAGCCUACCUUGGAAGUCAUAAGGACACGGCUCCGGGAGGAGGGCACCAAGUACAAGUCCUUCGUCCAGACUGCUCGGCUGGUCUUCCGGGAAGAAGGCUACCUCGCCUUCUACAGAGGACUCUUUGCCCAGCUCAUCCGGCAGAUCCCAAACACCGCUAUUGUGUUGUCUACCUACGAGUUGAUUGUGUACCUGUUAGAAGACCACGUUCAGUAGCAGGCCAGAAAAUUGUGCUCUAGAAGAAUAAAACUGAAAAACUCUUGAGAAUUUUUUUUUCCUCUGUUGCUGUUUAGAAUGUUUGAGACCGAAGCAGGAAAGGCCGUCGAGUGUCUGGCUCCUUAUCACCUGUUGGACAUUCCUUUUGGACUCGUGCGUUCUGGAAGGUUUCGAUGCGUUAACGUUAACAGUUAAUUAUAACUCUUGGUUUGUUUCUCUUUUUUUAACUUAAGAGGAUUCAGGAUUAAGCAGCCAGUAAAUUAAAUCAUGCUAUUUAAUUUAAGUAUA